CUCAAUCCCAGGCCGAGUUUUCGCUUUUAUAACGGUUAGGCGAACAACUGGGCCUGGUACUAGUUGUCUGCGCAUGCGUCAAUCGUUUGUCAGAUUCUGAUGAAUGGAUAUUCUCGUUCACAUUCGUGACAUUUAUAUUCGUGUACUAUCGUGUACUAGAAGUCAGUUCCCGUUUUAUCAUUAUUGGAAUCUAUUGGAAUGGCUCUUAGCUGAAGCUUCUCUCUUCUCUGAAGCUUAUUCUGAAGACUGAACAACAAGGGAAGAGGUAUAAAGCUUUGUCAAGCUUGUUAAGGUCAGAUAUUUUUGUGUGGGCCCUAUGGCCGGCUAUGCUAUCAAGUCUUGUUCAUGUUUGGCAAGAAUGUAGGUAGACUAUAGUUUCAUCAUUAAUAUGGUGGAUCAAGUGAAGAGUGUGAGCUAGAGAACUUGGUGCUGCAAUCAUCAGCUCGUCGACAAUGACACUAUAACCGAGAAAUUUAAUAUGUAUAGAUCUACACGUAUUUAAAAUGUCUACUUCUCUGUACAGGAGCAAUGGCUAAUAUCCAGCUAUCCCAACAGUGCUCCUCUUGGCUAUACUAACGGACGAGACUGGACAAUUUGAGACACAGGACUGGAGUAUGACCUGCUCAUUCGAGCGUUGCUGGGUAGCUCAGAGACAUCAAGAGAAUCUACGUUUUCUCAAGCAAUGAGUUACGAGUUGGGGCCUAGAAUCAGAGAAGUCCAGCAGCCUGCUAAAUCUUUUUGAAACGUAAUUUGAAGGCAUUCAAUCAUCCUGAAGUUGCCCUGGGUCACUGUAAUUGUGCUGCAGCACAACUGGCAACUCCCCAGGCCUUUGUGAAGCAGCUCCCUAUGUGCAUCUUUUGUGUACUCACUCUGUGCAUUUUCUGUGUACAAAUUUCUAUUAUUGAUUUAUUAAAUA